rnacentral:rRNA from 1 species
ACGGGGUGCAGCAGGCGCGAAAACUUUACAAUGCACGCAAGUGUGAUAAGGGGAUCCCAAGUGCUUUGUCUUCGGAUAAAGCUUUUGCUAAGUCUAAAUAGCUUGGCGAAUAAGUGGUGGGUAAGACGGGUGCCAGCCGCCGCGGUAACACCCGCGCCACAAGUGGCAAUCACGUUUAUUGGGUCUAAAGCGUCCGUAGCCGGUUUGAUAAGUCUCUUGUGAAAUUGUUAGGCUUAACCUAACCACGUGCAAGGGAAACUAUCAGACUUGAGACUGGGAGGAGGUAGAGGUAUUCUGAGGGUAGCGGUAAAAUGUUAUAAUCCUCGGAGGACCACCAGUGGCGGAGGCGUCUACCUAGAACAGGUCCGACGGUGAGGGACGAAGGCCAGGGGAGCAAAACGGAUUAGAUACAAGAAAUUUUCUGAGAGUAGAUUUCUGUACAAGCAAGUAAAAUUGAUCAAUAAAAAACUACUUUACUUGUUAAGAUGCAGAAAUUAAAUGAAAAUUUACUUGCUAAGUACCCGAGUAGUCCUGGCAGUAAACGCUGUGAGCUAUGUGUUGCAUAAUCUUAGUGAUUGUGCAGUGCCUAAGCGAAGGUGUUAAGCUCACCACCUGGGAAGUACAGUCGCAAGACCGAAACUUAAAGGAAUUGGCGGGGGAGCAC